rnacentral:piRNA from 1 species
AACAGACUGGGUAUAUAUAGGAAGU